AAUAGCAUGGGCUGUGAUGAUUAUGUGUUAUUUGGGCCAUUUGUAUAUACCGAGCCCACUUCAUGUCUGAGCCCCAUUUCAUUUUCCUAUUUGAGUCCUUUGACCCGAUCCGUGUGUAUUUGUAUAUAUAGGGGUCCCCAGAUAUUUUGGGACCCCCGGACUUCAUUUUCCACUUUUCUAUUCUCAGUUUAAUAAACUCUCUGAGUUCCAGAGACUUCUCAAAUCCUC
rnacentral:lncRNA from 1 species